UACGAAGGGUGCAAACGUUGCUCGGAAUUAUUGGGCGUAAAGCGCACGUAGGCGGCUUUGCAAGUCGGAUGUGAAAUCCCUCGGCUCAACCAAGGAAGUGCAUCCGAAACUGCAGAGCUUGAGUACCAAAGAGGAUCGCGGAAUUCCCGGUGUAGAGGUGAAAUUCGUAGAUAUCGGGAGGAACACCGAGCGGCGAAGGCGGCCAUCUGGACAGAUAUUGACGCUGAGGUGCGAAAGCGUGGGGAGCAAAGCAGG
rnacentral:rRNA from 1 species